AGUUAGCCAGAUGGUUGCAUGUCUUUGUAAGGAAGAACAUGAGGAAAGUCCGAGCUCCAUAGAACAGGGCGCCGGUUAACUGCCGGCGAAGGCGACUUUAGGGAAAGUGCAACAGAAAUAAACCGCCAAGCUUGCUUGGUAAGGAUGGAAAGGGGAGGUAAGAGCUCACCGCAUGGUUGGUAACAACCGUGGCACAUGUAAACCCCGCCCGGAGUAAGGUUAAAAGAAGCGCAUGGGUUGUUCGCCCGCUUCUUAAUAACACCGCUUGAACAUAUUGGAAACAAUGUGUCUAGAUAGAUGACCAUCAAAUACAGAACUCGGCUUACAGACUAACUUC
rnacentral:RNase_P_RNA from 2 species